CCGAGAACCUUCUAGAGCCACAUAACUCACCACGCACUAUUGACCUGAGCUCUAGAACAGGUUUCCUAAGUUUCAGAACUCUAGGUCUGAUGGUUCUUUAAUAGUUUCAACAAAGGUAACUAUUGCAGGCUCUGUUUGUCUCUACGCACCACACUGUGUCCCUCCGUCCAAGCUGUGUGUGUGUGUGUGAGUUUUUCUUGGAAAUCUUAUUCGAGACAUGACUUAUUUACAGUUCAUGAGGGUUGCCUAAUCGCACAUAUGAAGUUUUGGAAAGAUCUGACUUUUUUAACCCUUCGAAACAGCCCCUAUGACACCAAUUAUGGCACUUCCGGUUGGCACAGGAAGCGAAAAGUAAAAAUAUCCUCAUUGGGGUAUGCUUUUACAGAAUCCUGUGUUAUAAGUCUUUGCGUUAAGAACUGACUGAUUUACACAGGGUUGAAUUCACUAUUUCUAUCAAACAUCAGGUUGGGUAUGGAAAAACACUUUUAGGGUGAUUUUAACCACUUCCAGUUGCUCCAGGAAGCUUAGAAUCGACACAGGUAGACCUCAUAGUGGCCUGAUGGAUUGUCAUCGAAGACCGGUUCAUAAGACAUUCAUAACCCACAUAGGCUUCAGGUUGAAUUUAGGGGUGCAGGCAAUGUAUUCCUAUGGGUAGAGAAGUCAUUGAAAACUGUUUGGUGAAAAAAAACUGUUUUAACUGUUAAGGGUUAAUGCCACACGGUCAAGUUUAGGCUUGCACAGAUCGGGAGGACCUUAGGAACAUUCCUGUGGUUGAAUUGUCCUUCUAAACCUAACGGUUCCGCCGCUGUCACCCAAAAGCAAAUGACGUUGUGUGGCAUGGUCGCUGCGCUUAGACCGAGUGAGCUACGGUCAAGCGGGGCAUCUCGUUGAAUUCGGCACGGCCUAGAGAUUAUGAUGACAUUGCAGGCUCUGAGUUUCUUUCAGCACUGCACUUUGUCAGUCCAUCCUUGCUGUGUGUGUGUGUGUGAGAGAGAGAGAGCUUUUCUUUGACAUCUGUAUUCUAGGUGAUGUAGUGGUGUAAUAAUGUGUUGUAUUGUAGGUGAUGUAUUGGUGUAAUAAUGUGUUGUAUUGUAGAUAUGUAGUGGUGUAAUAAUGUGUUGUAUUCUAGGUGAUGUGGUGGUGUAAUAAUGUGUUGUAUUGUAGGUGAUGUAUUGGUGUAAUAAUGUGUUGUAUUGUAGAUAUGUAGUGGUGUAAUAAUGUGUUGUAUUCUAGGUGAUGUAGUGGUGUAAUAAUGUGAUGUAGUGGUGUAAUAAUGUGUUGUAUUGUAGGUGAUGUAGUGGUGUUGUAUUGUAGGUGAUGUAGUGGUGUAAUAAUGUGUUGUAUUGUAUGUGAUGUAGUGGUGUAAUAAUGUGAUGUAUUGUAUGUGAUGUAGUGGUGUAAUAAUUUGUUGUAUUGUAUGUGAUGUAGUGGUGUAAUAAUGUGAUGUACUGUAGGUGAUGUAGUGGUGUAAUAAUGUGUUGUAUUGUAGGUGAUGUAGUGGUGUAAUAAUGUGUUGUAUUGUAGGUGAUGUAGUGGUGGAAUAAUGUGUUGUAUUGUAUGUGAUGUAGUGGUGUAAUAAUGUGAUGUACUGUAGGUGAUGUAGUGGUGAUGUAGUGGUGUAAUAAUGUGAUGUACUAUAGGUGAUGUAGUGGUGUUGUAUUGUAGGUGAUGUAGUGGUGUAAUAAUGUGUUGUAUUGUAGCUGAUGUAGUGGUGGAAUAAUGUGUUGUAUUGUAGGUGAUGUAGUGGUGUAAUAAUGUGUUGUAUUGUAGGUGAUGUAGUGGUGUAAUAAUGUGAUGUAUUGUAUGUGAUGUAGUGGUGUAAUAAUGUGUUGUAUUGUAGGUGAUGUAGUGGUGUUGUAUUGUAGGUGAUGUAGUGGUGUAAUAAUGUGUUGUAUAUGUGAUGUAGUGGUGUAAUAAUGUGCCUUAAGGCUCAGAACAUUCUUAGUCAAAGGUCAGGAAUUAACAGUGACCCAUUAAGCCAUGCAGAGACAUUCUCCAUCAGCAUGCCAGCUUUCCAUGUCAAAUUUGUCCUCAUUCAGUGCUGCCAGACAAAAAUGCAUCCAGUUACACGUUUUUUGAUGUUGUGGCUAUUGUAAUCGACUCUAAGGCAAGUGGGCUCAGACACUGAAAACGGUAUGUUUUUCCAGGCAAAGGUUCCUCUCUGGAUUGUAUAUAUACAGCUCUUGCGAUUAUUUUAGGGGAUGUGACAAAUGUAAAAAUGUCCUUAAGGUUUAACCAGACUUUUUUCUCUCUCAUUUAAUCAUUUGUAAUAAAAUCAUAGGAUAACGUGAAUUCAAAAUUCAGAUACGAUCGCCUAUGACCACUAGGGGGCAAUUCAUUUCAAUGUACCGUUGUCUCGACCACCUACCAGCUAGAUGGCGCUCACCUUACUGCUGUCCCCGACCCACUCAGCAACAAUGGUAUUAAUGCCGAUUUAGGUUCUCUGUUGUGUUCCUUUCCUCCAUGUUCUCAGUGGUCAGUACUUCUCAUCAAGGUAUCAAGGUCGUUGCAGUGAUGUAUGACAGCGUGUUCAUAACAAUCUGUUGUUAACGCGCUUUGUACUUGCAGAGCAAUCAUUGUACAAUUUCUCCAUCUGGGCCAUCACAGUCUUGUAGUCUGGUUCUAGAUAUGCCAUCAGGUUAUUGAAGCCGACGUCUAUCCGCAUAACAACUGCAAUCAUGUAAUCAGCUCUGUGGUUUUUCUCACUCUUUUUUUUCUAUUUUUCCGGGCAAGUCAGUUAAGAACUAAUUCUUAUUUACAAUGACGGCCUUGGAACAGUGGGUUACCUUGUUCAGGGGCAGAACGACAGAUGUUUACGUUGUCAGCUCGGGGAUUCGAUCUUGCAAACUUUCGGUUACUAAUCCAACGCUCUAACCACUAGGCUACCCUGCCACCCCAAAGCUCUAACCACCAGGCUACCCUGCCACCCCAACGCUCUAACCACUAGGCUACCUGCCGCCCCAACGCUCUAACCACUAGGCUACCUGCCGCCCCAACGCUCUAACCACUAGGCUACCUGCCGCCCCAACGCUCUAACCACUAGGCUACCCUGCCACCCC
ensembl:lncRNA